rnacentral:rRNA from 1 species
UACGUAGGGGGCAAGCGUUGUCCGGAUUUAUUGGGCGUAAAGAGCAUGUAGGCGGCCUGACAGGUCUGCUGUGAAAACUCGAGGCUCAACCUCGAGAUGUCGGCGGAAACCGUCUGGCUAGAGUCCGGAAGAGGAGAGUGGAAUUCCUGGUGUAGCGGUGAAAUGCGCAGAUAUCAGGAAGAACACCUAUGGCGAAGGCAGCUCUCUGGGACGGUACUGACGCUGAGACGCGAAAGCGUGGGGAGCGAACAGG